rnacentral:rRNA from 1 species
GUAGGUGGCAAGCGUUGUCCGGAAUUAUUGGGCGUAAAGCGCGCGCUGGUGGUUCUUUAAGUCUGAUGUGAAAGCCCCCGGGCUCAACCGGGGAGGGUCAUUGGAAACUGGGGAACUUGAGUGCAGGAGAGGAAAGUGGAAUUCCACGUGUAGCGGUGAAAUGCGUAGAUAUGUGGAGGAACACCAGUGGCGAAGGCGACUUUCUGGCCUGUAACUGACACUGAGGCGCGAAAGCGUGGGGAGCAAACAGGAUUAGAUACCCUGGUAGUCCACGCCGUAAACGAUGAGUGCUAAGUGUUGGGGGGUUUCCGCCCCUCAGUGCUGCAGCUAACGCAUUAAGCACUCCGCCUGGGGAGUACGGUCGCAAAGACUG